rnacentral:tRNA from 1 species
GCCGACGUGGCGCAAUCGGCAGAUCGCAAGAGACUUAAAAUCUCUGGAGGUUAUCCUCGUAUGGGUUCAAGUCCCAUCGUCGGCACCA